ACAGGUAACAGCACAGACAUGACAAUCUCCACUCAGCUUCUGGGGUUGCUGUUGCUCUGGCUUACAGGUGCCAGAUGUGACAUUCAGAUGACCCAGUCUCCAUCCACCUUGUCUGCAUCUUUGGGAGAAAGUGUCACCAUCACAUGCUUGGCAAGUCAGGACAUUUAUGGGCAUUUAGCGUGGUAUCAGCAGAAACCAGGGGAAUGUCCUAAGCUCCUGAUCUAUGGUACAAACAGCUUGGCAGAUGGGGUCUCACCAAGGUUCAGUGGAAGUAGAUCUGGCUCACAGUAUUCUUUUAAGAUAGGGAGCCUGCAAUCUGAAGAUGCUGCAACUUACUACUGUCAUCAGGGUGAUAAUACACCUCCCACAAUGAUUGAUGUCAUUAUAGAAACCAUCAAGGGAAGCAGAAGUGAAAGAUCAGCCUGGCCCAUUUGCUCUUUCUGGUGUCUGCUCUUCAAUGUAUUCCAGCUGCUGAGGGGCAGGCAUAACUCUCACACUUAG